ACCUGGCUGGCUUAGUCAGUAGAGCAUGCAACUCUUGAUCUCAGGGUUGUGAGUUCGAGCCCCAUGUUGGGUG
rnacentral:tRNA from 1 species